GAUGAACGCUGACGGCGUGCCUAAUACAUGCCAGUCGAGCGAACGGACGAGAAGCUUGCUUCUCUGAUGUUAGCGGCGGACGGGUGAGUAACACGUGGAUAACCUACCUAUAAGACUGGGAUAACUUCGGGAAACCGGAGCUAAUACCGGAUAAUAUUUUGAACCGCAUGGUUCAAAAGUGAAAGACGGUCUUGCUGUCACUUAUAGAUGGAUCCGCGCUGCAUUAGCUAGUUGGUAAGGUAACGGCUUACCAAGGCAACGAUGCAUAGCCGACCUGAGAGGGUGAUCGGCCACACUGGAACUGAGACACGGUCCAGACUCCUACGGGAGGCAGCAGUAGGGAAUCUUCCGCAAUGGGCGAAAGCCUGACGGAGCAACGCCGCGUGAGUGAUGAAGGUCUUCGGAUCGUAAAACUCUGUUAUUAGGGAAGAACAUAUGUGUAAGUAACUGUGCACAUCUUGACGGUACCUAAUCAGAAAGCCACGGCUAACUACGUG
rnacentral:rRNA from 1 species